UUACUCAGCAUAGACCACUUCUGGUGUGGAGGUGUUUUUCUGAAGCUUUUCUUGUUCCUCCACAGUACCCAAGAGGUGGGACCAGGCACGCUGGAAACCGGACGAGAGAUUUCUGCUACUGAUCAGAUGGGAAAUCGCUCUCAUGGAUGGAUCACGCGUCCCUCAGAACUGACAAACUCCAAGGCCUCCUGGGCUUUGUGGUCAAAGCUGCGUUGGACUCUUCUGCAGGAGAGGAAAGGGAAGUAGUAAGGGUGUCCCCAAACACACCAAAGACUUGGGUGACCGAGGCCGAGCCUUCUGGAAACAAUACUGCUGGAUUCCCACAGAAGUAGCAAGAGGGCAAAAGAAAAAUCCCUUUUGGCUCCCUCACAGCAGCUUUAUACUCUUUUUUUGUUUGUUUUUUCUGAAGAGGAGGUUGGGCCUGAACACCCUCCCCAAAGUACCUUUGACAUUUGGAGACCUUUGAGCCUAGAUCCACAGUGACAGGUCACAGGUCUACGCAGCCCUCCUGCUUCUCCGUCAUGACUUGCAAGACUGGAAGAGAGAGAAAGUAUGACCCGUAGAAAGCAGAGACUAAUUCCUUCCUUCACCAGACGCUUCUCAUGUGGCGAAGUCAUUCAGCUUCUCUUUCUCUUUUGUACUUCCAUUCCCUGCCUGUAAAAGCAGCAGGAACCAUGUGGGGCUCAUAUAUUAGUGACAUGAGAUGUGCAACUAUUUCAUAUAUGAUGGAUCUGUAGAAAUACCCAGAAAGAAGGAAGUCAGAAUUUUCCAGAAAUGACAGGAUUUGCCAUGGACUUGAAGUCCAAUAUUGUUUUACAAGCAGACAAGCCAUUGCUGUCCAAAUGCUCUCCUCACACCAGCAAGAGAAACUUGUUUUUCCAAGCCUUGUAUUUUGAUACCUUCAGUUCAUGAAACAAACCAGAAAAAGCGCCCAGUGAUAAUUAAUUUUAAGAAGCUCAUGAACAUAGAGUUAACUGGCCUUGUCUGCAGUGGUCAAGUGCGUUCAUCUUGCAAUUCUGUUUGAGCUAAGGGACAGCCAAUUUGUUUUGCUCUGCAUCCCACGUGCUGGGGUUGUUGAAGUGCUCUUACAAGGCCAGUGCUGUUAAUAAUAAAUGAUAUUCUUCCUCAAGCCUCA
rnacentral:lncRNA from 1 species